rnacentral:rRNA from 1 species
UACGAAGGGUGCAAGCGUUACUCGGAAUUACUGGGCGUAAAGCGUGCGUAGGUGGUUUGUUAAGUCUGAUGUGAAAGCCCUGGGCUCAACCUGGGAACUGCAUUGGAAACUGGCUUACUAGAGUGCGGUAGAGGGGUGUGGAAUUCCCGGUGUAGCAGUGAAAUGCGUAGAUAUCGGGAGGAACAUCUGUGGCGAAGGCGACACCCUGGACCAGCACUGACACUGAGGCACGAAAGCGUGGGUAGCAAACAGG